CAAUAGGGUCGCGGGGACACUCAGGAAGCUUGGGUGCCCCCCCCUAC
rfam:Hepatitis C virus genotype 3, genome